rnacentral:rRNA from 1 species
CAGCCGCCGCGGUAAUACCGGCGGCCCGAGUGGUGGCCGCUAUUAUUGGGCCUAAAGCGUCCGUAGCCGGGCCCGUAAGUCCCUGGCGAAAUCCCACGGCUCAACCGUGGGGCUUGCUGGGGAUACUGCGGGCCUUGGGACCGGGAGAGGCGGGGGGGACCCCUGGGGGAGGGGGGAAAUCCUAUAAUCCCAGGGGGACCGCCAGUGGCGAAGGCGCCCCGCUGGAACGGGUCCGACGGUGAGGGACGAAGGCCAGGGGAGCAAACCGGAUUAGAUACCCGGGUAGUCCUGGCGGUAAAGGAUGCGGGCUAGGUGUCGGGUGAGCUUCGGGCUCGCCCGGUGCCGUAGGGAAGCCGUUAAGCCCGCCGCCUGGGGAGUACGGCCGCAAGGCUGAAACUUAAAGGAAUUGGCGGG